GACGAACGCUGGCGGCGUGCUUAACACAUGCAAGUCGAACGGAAAGGCCCUGCUUUUGUGGGGUGCUCGAGUGGCGAACGGGUGAGUAACACGUGAGUAACCUGCCCUUGACUUUGGGAUAACUUCAGGAAACUGGGGCUAAUACCGGAUAGGAGCUCCUGCUGCACGGUGGGGGGUGGAAAGUUUCGGCGGUUGGGGAUGGACUCGCGGCUUAUCAGCUUGUUGGUGGGGUAGUGGCUUACCAAGGGUUUGACGGGUAGCCGGCCUGAGAGGGUGACCGGCCACAUUGGGCCUGAGAUACGGCCCAGACUCCUACGGGCGGCAGCAGUGGGGAAUAUUGCACAAUGGGCGGAAGCCUGAUGCAGCAACGCCGCGUGCGGGAUGACGGCCUUCGGGUUGUAAACCGCUUUCGCCUGUGACGAAGCGUGAGUGACGGUAAUGGGUAAAGAAGCACCGGCUAACUACGUG
rnacentral:rRNA from 1 species